GUCAGCAUGGCAUAGUGGUUUGAGCACUGGACUACAAUUCAGGAGAUCAGGGUUUGAUUCCCGAUUGACCACG